rnacentral:rRNA from 1 species
GACGAACGCUGGCGGCGUGCUUAACACAUGCAAGUCGAACGGGUCUGCCCUGUUUUUUGCGGGGUGGGUCAGUGGCGAACGGGUGAGUAACACGUGAGUAACCUGCCCCUCACUUCUGGAUAACCGCUUGAAAGGGUGGCUAAUACGGGGUGUUCUGGCUGUGCCGCAUGGUGUGGCUGGGAAAGAUUCACUUUUGUGGUGUUUUGGUGGGGGGUGGGCUCGCGGCCUAUCAGCUUGUUGGUGGGGUGAUGGCCUGCCAAGGCUUUGACGGGUAGCCGGCCUGAGAGGGUGGGCGGUCACACUGGGAAUGAGAUACGGCCCAGACUACUGCGGGAGGCAGCGGUGGGGGGUAUUGAACAAUGGGCGGAAGCCUGAUGCAGCGACGUCGCGUGAGGGAUGGAGGCCUUCGGGUUGUGAACCUCUUUCGCCGGUGAAGAAGGUCCUGCUCUUUGUGGUGGGGUUGACGGUAGCCGGGUUAUGAAGCGCCGGCUAACUACGUG